CGCCGCUGAAGAGCGCGCUGGGGACGGCGCCGCCGACGUGUGGUGUUCGACAUCGACGAGACGAUGCUCUCCAACCUCCCCUACUACGCCCAACAUAGAUAAAGAUUGGAGAGGCGGAGGCGGAUGAAAUUCCAGCAUGCCCAUUGUACCAGGAGGUGAGCCAUAUCCACUUCAAGACCUUCCUGCUCAGCAGCCGCAACGAGGGUAAUGAGGGUUUCACAGCGGAAAAUAAAAAAGGGUUCAGUGCCAUCUCUCAUUUCUUUCACACAGCUUGGUGGGGAAAUUCGGGCAGUGGAGAUUAUUAUCUUCAUAACCUGACUAAGUCCAUGACCAUUAGUAGGAAAACUAGAGUUUUGCCCUUCAAUUAUUUAGACUUUGACAUUUCGUGGACAUGUAAUUCGCUAUAACAAUAGAUGACUUUCUGUACCCGCGAUUUAGGCAUGGUCAAUCCGAUUGUCUUUCAUGGAAUAAUAUACUAGCCUUUCUGCACUGAAUCAUUGUGUUGGUGUGUGUUCCUAUCUGCCAACCUCUUACCUCUGUUUUUGCUGCAUAAACAACCAAAUUAGUGCUACGACUUUGAAUCUUGAUCUGACUGUAGGCCAAAGUACAGGUUUGCAGGUGCAACAACACUUCAGCCAUGGUCCAGUUCGAUCCAGUGCAGAUGACAUAUACAUGCAGGUUGCAAGCAGUGCCUGUGUAGUCUGUUCUGGAGGGGAAAGAUUUUGUUUGGCCAAAUAGAAAUAUAUCUGAUUCUUGGAAUUUAAAUACUGUUGGUCUGAGCUAGACAAAAUAAUUGAGGUACAUCGAUAUCAGGGAAAAGUCCCUUUUAUAAAGAGAAUACUUUAGCAAUGGGACUAGAUAAAUGGGAAUGGACUAAUGAUUUGCAUAUAGCAGAACAUUAUUUGGCAUAAUGAACACAUCAUGGUUUAUAAACUAUUAUGAUAAAAGAAAUUAUAUUACUUUAAGGUAGUGGGUUUAUGGCAAUUAUGACGGCACAAUUGAUCCUACCUUCAUGGAUGCUGAACAUGCUAUAGUUACAAAAUUAGGGAGUAACUUUGUCUUUUGAUCAACGGUUGAUAUAAUACGGUUAUGUGAUAAAUGUCCUGGUAGUGUAAACUGUACAUAACAGAGUUCCUGACAUAAAUCAUGACACAAGACUUACGUGCAUUCUUGUUAUUCUGUUAAUUGGAACUAACUAUGAUGUAUAUGAAGGAGCUCUGCCGCCACGUCUUCUUGGCAUCCAAGGAGUUCUGCCGCCACCUGUUCUCAGCUUCCAAGGAUCCCUGCCGCGGCCCGAGCUCCUAUGGCACCCCGCCGACUGCCACGCUCGUGAUGAGGUCUAAGUUUGCUAUCCUCUGAAUCGAGCUGCCAAACAACUCCUUCUGCUGGGCCUCCGCAAUCCCGUGCGACUAGCACAAGCUUCGCCCAUCGCGCUCGCUGUAGGUCUCCGCUCUGCCUUUCCCCCUGCUCAUCAAUGGAUGCUUUUAUUCAUAUAAAGUUUGGCCGCCCGUUUCCAGAUCAAAUUUCUCUGCUCUGUCGUUCCUUUUUCCCAUGUGAUUAGUGUCUAAGGUUAGGUCUGCAUUUACCUCACGAGUUACAAAAUGCCACUGGUUCCUCUUUGUCAUUUAUGAACAAAGUUUAACUGCAGCCGAACAAGUCCAAAGCUCGUGAUUUUCAGGACUACAUUUGGUGAGCAGUUCUGAACACAAUGCGUCGAGUAUGUCGCAAAUUCAGGAAUAAAAAAUAAAAAUUCAGGUAAUGAUGCUCUGGAUUUAUGAUAAAUUUUUAUGUGAUGUUGGUACUUGGUAGUACAUAAACUUCAUGUUUUUAGGAAUUUCCAUAAUAUUUUCAUGUGUGUAUGCAAAAUGAUACGUAGUCAUUCAAAUUUAUGCACGAUGUAUUUUCAUGUUUUCAUACAUGUACACGAUUCUAUAAUGUUUGUACAUCCAAACAUGAUUUUUAAUUUGUUGCUACCCAUUGAUUUUGAUUUCCAAUUACAUACAUGAAAUAGUAAAAAAAAAAACAAUUACAUAAACAUCCAAACAUGAUGCUUGUCAUUGGAGGCCAUUUUCAGUUCACCUCAGUUUUGUUAUUCACACCCCAAUUCAAUACCAACAUCCUAGCUGAGUCUUCAUCUUCUCAAUGAAAUGUGUGAGACGGGACCAUCCAUAGCCCUCGCCGGAUUCCACCGCUCUUUCACAUGUCUCACUAUGCCGUCACCUUACCCCUCAUCUUGAAGCAAUGCUGUCUACAAGAGUGAUGUGUAUAUACUUUUUCUGGAAUACAGUGGUGUGCAUAUCUAAGCUUUAUUGUGCUCUGAAUCUUGAUUCAAAUUGUGCUAAAUAGAGACUACAACCUGAUACUAAUUUUCAUGACUCUGAUAUUUUCUACGUGUGGCUUCAAAUCUGUCAAUUAAUUUCACAUGUUAAGAUACACUCCAGGUUACCACUACCACAGCUGAUGGUUGGUUUAUUUUUCCGUUCACGUCGGCAAUAUGUGAGAUAUGGGUUGCCUUGUCUUGGAUUGUUGAUGGUUUCCACAGUGUUUCUUAUGUGAGGGACACUCCCAUACAUGUACUAAAUUAUUGGCAUAUAGAAUUCCUGGUAAGUAUUUUUGCAAUAUGCACUAAUACUCAGAAAAUGAAAUGCAUGCUUCCUUUACUUAGAAUUAGAUGAAUCAAUUGUAACCAAAUAGGGUUGUUUGAUGCUCAAAACCUGAUUGUUUUUUCUCUACAUAUAGUACUAUUUAGCAAGCAACUUACUCAGUUAUAUAUAUCUGACAUUACUGCAGAUUCUCUUUUAUUGCAUAGAUUCAUAUACUGUAGUUCCAGAUUUUCCAUCGCUUUCAUAUAUUUGAGCAUACUGAACUUUUCAUUGUUCACCCUCAUGGUGUAGUUCUGAUAAUGUCAUGAGAAUACAGCUAUAUGGGCAGCUUAUUUCCACGUUUUGUUCUUGCACUAUUCUAAAUUUUCUGCAGGUUGAAUAUGCAACCGGACAUUCUUGUUCUUCUGUACUCAUGUUUCUCUAGAUGAUUUUUAAGGUUGUGAUUAUGUGUAUUGUUUUUUCUAGCAGAUAUAUGUGAUGUUAGAAGUUGCAAUAUUAACACCCUAAAGUAAAUAUUUUGCUAACAGAGUAAAGUAAAUAUUUUGCUGAGAGAUUUUCAUUAUAUGAUGCCAACUGAGAGUGCAAUUGGAUGUUUGCGUACUGAAAAUAACAAGUGUCUAGCAACAGAUUCCAGGCAAGAAGUUGGCAAGAGAUCGUGAGAUUUUCUAUAUCCUUUUUUUUCGAGGAUGAGAUUUGCUAUGUCUGUUGUCUUGGUAUUGGGCUCCAGUAUUCCAUAGGCAUCUUCGUCGUGGUCAUUUCCCGAUAGAAAUUGUUUGCAAAAUGAGCAAGUAGCAGCGAUGAAUCUCAGUUUUGAACGAAGUCCAUCUGGUACGUAUCAUUUAUGUGUAGACAAUCACAAUCAGCUUUCGUAGUUUCAGUUGGUUGAUCAAACGGAGAAGCACAGGUCUGUACAACAAUAGAGUUCAUGGCUGCAUUAGUUUUAAGCAAGCGUCAGUUACAUUCUUGGUAAUAUAAUUCAUCAGGCUAGAUAUGAUUUUAGUUAGGAAACAAAACCUUCUAUAGUUGGUGUGAGAGUUAGUCGGAUGACCGCGAACUCGUCUGUUGCCAUUAUAACAGUGUUUAGUCCUAUUGAAAAAAUAUUUGACAUUGGUGUAUCUGGUUGAGUAUGUUCUCCACUCUUUAAGGACAGCAGUAGCCUUCUUUGACGAUGUGUCUCGCAUAGCCUUUGCAAUAUCACAUCUUUGUUUUGCUCAUAUGGGGCAUUAUCCCUAUCCCUCUUCUAUGAUUAUUUAUAUUCUGUAGGACAAAAAUGUAAAUUACUAUGUGCACAGUACAACUGUACAAGUGACAUAUGAGCAGCAAUUGUUCAUCAUUACCCAAGCUGCUUAAGGCUUGAACUCUCGUUUGUAAUCUAUACCCCUGCUUAGACCAAAUACCAUAGUUAUCAUUAUUAUCGGAAUUUUCCUUGUUAGAAGAGGCACUCUGUUUUGAUAGAAAUGAGUUGGUCCAUCAAACGGAGUUGAACCGGACGACACCACAAUAGUAGGUAUGCCUACAUCACAAUUGUUUAUUACAAUAUCAAUAUCAGUAGUGAUAUAUAAAUGAUGUUGUUAUAUCUGGUUAGUAAGCAUCACCUUCUGUAGUUGGGUGAUAACAGAUUGCACGGUGGCAUUCUUCACAGUUUCUUAGAUGGAGGGUUAGAUGCAUUUCCAUCAUGAUCGUGAUUAGUGCAUCAUGUCGGGCGGACCAAGCCAAUGAACGCACCAGGUGAUAUGGCAACCGGUGUGUUAAAUGGAGUAUGGUGUCCAUCGGGAAUAGCAGAUGUACUUUUCCUCCGGGCUAAUGGAGAAGCCACAUAGCUUCUUGGUCAAGGACGACGAGGGAUGGCCCACCUUAUCGCUUGCGUGCGCAUGUCCACCACUGAAGCCCUCUCGCACCAUAUCCGGGUCGAGGACGAUGCCGGCGUCGCUGAAGCAGAGAAGAAGGACGCCGGUGCCACUCCCAACGCCGAAUUCAUGCCCCGAUUUGGCUCUCGUGGUUAGAUUUGCUAUGGUUCGGAGUUGAGUGAAUUCGUCGACGAGCUUGCCUGAAACGUAGCUCAGAUUUCUGACAUGUGAUUGCGGAGCUGGAGUAUGAUCUGUGCCCUGACAGAACUUUCGCUGCCAUACUUCAGGAUACCUCUCGACCAUCCUUCCAAGGCGCAAUUACUUCCUGGGCCAGCCUCCGAGGCUGUCCCUCUGCGUGUCGCCGAGAUUGUCAUCGCACCUGCACCAUCCUCCAUGGAGCCAAGGCUAGAGUUGCUGCAUAUGGUAUACACUCACGAAAGUGAUCAUUUUCCUGUUUUAGCAUGUAGCGAGCACUACCUGAACUAUUCCCUUUAGUCUGCUCCAGGAUUACCCGGUCACACUCUCAAUGCCUCCUCUCAUUUGAUGUUAGGUGUGCAUUUUAUUUACUGGUAGCACAUGGAGGAUUUUGGUACCCAAGCAAGUGUAGGAUUCAAAAAAUAACGUGAUGCAUGUCCAGAAGUCUACUUUGAUUUAAUUAGGUGUAUAAAGGCGGAAUCACCGGCAUAAGAAAUUUAUUUAUCCUUAAAGCACAUCAGAGUUGCAGGGGUAACAAAACAAGUAUUGUACUUUUUUUAAAUGAUUGAUCUUUAAGGCUUCCAUGUAAAAUUGUAAGAAAACCAUAUGUGAUGGAUUUAGGUGUUGAAAAAGUCAAGAUUGACACCAUGGACCUGCUAUUUAGCAUGGAAAACAAAACCAAAUCUGGAGGCACAUGCCAAGUUUCUCCAGUUCUCAGAUGGAAAUACAUAUGAGAGAAGAUCAGUUGUUCUGGAAUACCAUUUUCACUAUUUAUUUUGUUUGACAAAAAUCUUGGUGGCUU